rnacentral:lncRNA from 1 species
CAUCUUCACAAAGACAGAGGGGUCGUCUUAGCUCUGCCUUGCCCCAAGCUGUGCUGCCGCCAUGGAUAAAUAGCCUGUAGUCUUCCUCUUCUUCAGCACUUUACCUACAGCAGUGCUUGCGCCUGGAGCAGAGCUCUGUUCUAUCCACAGAUUACUCACACCUGCUUCAGGUCAUUUUGCUUUUAAAUAUCCUUCAUGGUGAGAUGCUAAAGUAUCGUAAUGAAGGUUUUAAAUAGCUUCUUCCUGGUUGUAAAAGUUCAUUCCAGGAAACAAUAUUGGAACUGGGAACUGGUGGGGCUGUUAAGGCUGUAGCCCUUGCUCUAGGCAUUUCCCCUUCUCAGAGCUGGAGAUGACUCACUACCCCAGCAUUUGCCUGUUUCACUGAUGAGGCUUUACCUCCCUUUCAAUUUGAGGUGUGCUUAGGGAAAGCAAGCCAAGGUGCUGCGCAUAACAACUCCAGCCUGUGGCUAAGUGAUCGUGUGCUGGAGCCAUCAGUCCAGGACUCUCUCGUGGUCCAGCUCCGACAUUUACAAAACGUCUGACUAUGGUGCCAGAGCUUUGACCUUCUAAAACAUAAAUGUGUAUACUGCAAAAAAUCCUUACUGUUUAUUUAUAAUCCCCGGAGAUGAAGAAGUUUUUAAUGGAACUGAUUUGCACAAUGAAAUAACUUCCUGAAUUCUCAGAAAAAUGAAAGUAAAAAAGUUGAAAAAGGUUCUAAUCUUAUGAACACAAAGAGAAAUGGAGAGAAGGCAAUAGUGGAGGAGAGAUGCUAAAAAAAUAUUUGGUAGGAUGAACACUUAAUGGAUACUUGUCAGAAUAGUGAAAGUUCAAAUAUAAGCCCUUGAAGAUGGAUAAGUCAACAAAAACCUCGUUAAUUCAUAUUGUGGAAAACUGGAAAGAUCAGCAAUACCAGAAAUUAGGAGUGGGACUGAGAACUUGCUGCUGAAAACAGGUUUGCUUAAAGAUAUUUAGGAUCAGUUAGAGCCCACUCUCCUACCCACCCUGCCCUUCUGCCACUCAUCCCAAUAGCAAGACAGAAGGAUAAUUCUAGGCAAAAAUUGACAGAGGGCAUCCAGGAUAUUAAGCACAGUUGAGAACAAGGUUUAGGUGUUAUAUUGAAAACAGGAAGGAACAAGAAAGUCUACACAUGGAAUGACUAGAGAUGCAGCAUCUUCAUUACAGCAAUCCCCGGACUCUGAGAGCCAGGCUUCAGCCCUGCAUAUCACUCUCUUCUGACACCUGCACAGGUGAGUGAGGAAGCAUUUACCACAGGGGUUAACGCUGCAGGUUUUAUCCUUCCUGGGUCACCUUCUCCCAAGCCCAAGGGUCUAUAUUUCCUGCCUCAAUACAGACCAUCUCAUCUUUUCACUACUUCACUCUGCGAUAGCUAAUGAGAGCCAGAAAUUGUCAUAUGUUUUAAGCAAAGUCUUCAACAUGAAAGAGGAUACUAAAAUAAACGAAGAGAAACAAGAACAAUUUAAAGGGAACAAAUAAUGAAGGGAGCAGAAGGAUCACUGAAACAAACUAGAAUUAAUAUCCUUCAGUAAAAAGAAAAUGUCACCUUCAUACACAGGAACACGAUGCUGAGAAAAGGAACAACCAGGACACGUG